GGGCUGAGGCGGAAAAAGAGACCCGACGCUCGCUUCACACGCGAAGGGUCGUAGGUUCAAAUCCUAUACCGCCCACCA
rnacentral:tRNA from 1 species